CAGCAGUAGCCACGGUAACACGAAGGUCCCGAGCGUUGUUCGGAAUCACUGGGCGUAAAGGGAGCGUAGGCGGCGUGGUAAGUCAGAUGCGAAAUCCCGGGGCUCAACCCCGGAACUGCAUCCGAUACUGCCAUGCUAGAGGAUUGGAGAGGUAGCUGGAAUUCUUGGUGUAGCAGUGAAAUGCGUGGAGAUCAAGAGGAACACUCGUGGCGAAAGCGAGCUACUGGACAAUAACUGACGCUGAGGCUCGAAGGCCAGGGUAGCGAAAGGGAUUAGAUACCCCCGUAGUCCCUGUCUCUUAUAC
rnacentral:rRNA from 1 species